rnacentral:rRNA from 1 species
UACGGGGGGGGCAAGCGUUGUUCGGAAUUACUGGGCGUAAAGGGUUCGUAGGCGGCCAACUAAGUCAGACGUGAAAUCCCUCGGCUUAACCGGGGAACUGCGUCUGAUACUGGAUGGCUUGAGAUUGGGAGAGGGAUGCGGAAUUCCAGGUGUAGCGGUGAAAUGCGUAGAUAUCUGGAGGAACACCGGUGGCGAAGGCGGCGUCCUGGGCCAACACUGGCGGUGAGGGAGCGAAAGCCAGGGGAGCAAACGGG